rnacentral:rRNA from 1 species
UACGGAGGGUGCAAGCGUUAAUCGGAAUUACUGGGCGUAAAGCGCGCGUAGGCGGUUAAACAAGUCAGAUGUGAAAGCCCCGGGCUCAACCUGGGAACUGCAUUUGAAACUGUUUAGCUAGAGUGUGGUAGAGGAGAGUGGAAUUUCAGGUGUAGCGGUGAAAUGCGUAGAUAUCUGAAGGAACACCAGUGGCGAAGGCGGCUCUCUGGACCAACACUGACGCUGAGGUGCGAAAGCGUGGGUAGCAAAC